rnacentral:rRNA from 1 species
GACGUAGGGAGCGAGCGUUGUCCGGAAUUAUUGGGCGUAAAGAGCUCGUAGGCGGUUUGUUGCGUCGGCCGUGAAAACCUGCAGCUUAACUGUGGGCCUGCGGCCGAUACGGGCAGACUAGAGUGUGGUAGGGGAGACUGGAAUUCCUGGUGUAGCGGUGAAAUGCGCAGAUAUCAGGAGGAACACCGGUGGCGAAGGCGGGUCUCUGGGCCGAUACUGACGCUGAGGAGCGAAAGCGUGGGGAGCAAACAGG